CCCUCCUCCCCCUUCUUCUUCUCUCUCAUCAAUCACCAAGGCCCUUUAAGACCAGUACCUAACCCCAGACAACACAUGAAACCGGUUCCAUUCCUUCCAAUUCAUCCAUCCCUCCCUAAUGUCUCCCUUCUUCUCUUGAGAUAGAGAGAGAAACUAGAGAGAGAAAGUGUAGAGAGAGAGUAUACAAAGGUUAGUAGUAGUACCCUAGUACAAGUACUCAAAAGAUUGUGGAUGUGGUUGUAGAAGCUUGUACACACAAAAGAGAGGAAUUUGAGGGAGAGAGAGUGAGAGAGAAGCCUAGCUAGCUAGCAAGCACACACCACACACAUCUCCAAAUUAAGCACAAGAGGAAACAACACACAAGCCACCUCGAUCUCUCUCCUUCCUCUCGAUCCCAAGAAGCCCAAGGAAGCUUCCUAUACGUUUAGUGGUUAGCGCGCUCGCUCGCCGCCGCGCCGCGGCGAAGGAGGGACGACGACGGACAUGGCGUCGGCGACGUCGACGACGCCCGACCUGUCGCUGCACAUCAGCCUGCCGAGCGGUGGCGCGGCGGUGGGGACGACGGCGCCGCCGGGGCUGGGGAACGGCGGUGCGGUUGGUGGUGCCGGCGGCGGCAAGGCGGCGGGUGGUGGUGACCCGUGGCGGAGGCUGGAUGGCUCCACAGCGUCGACGGAGCUGUCGCUGUCGACGCCGCAGCAGCAGCAGGAGGGCAGUACAUCGGCGGCCGAUGUGCUGCCGUGGCGGCUGCGGCAGCCGACGGCGGCGGCGGCGUCCGUGCCGGUGACACUGCCGACGAUACCGAUGGAUGGUUCGGCGGCGGCGGCGCGCGCGCCGAUCCGUGGGGUGCCUGUGUAUAGCGGCGGCGGCGGCGGUGGCCACCCGUUCCUCGGAGGCGGCGGCGGCGACCACCGGCACAACCGGCUCUACAACCCCUACCACUCCACGGCAUGGCCCUCGUCGUCGCUGUGCUCGACGUCGCCGGCGCCGGCUCCUCCUCCCCCACCAGCAGCUCUCGACCCGACGACGUCGUCGCUGCUGUCGCCGUCCGCGUACCACCGGAUGCUCUCCAGCACGGGGCGCCUCCACGGCGUGCUCGCCGACACCCUCCGCGGCUACGCCGGCGCCGCUGCGGUGGCGGGCUCCAUCGGCUACGGCUCCGCGGCCGCCGCCGCCGCCGCCAUGGGCGGCUACGGCGGCGCCGGCGCCGGCGGCGGGUUCGCCUCCUCCCGCUUCAUGCCGCGCCUCCUCCCGGCGUCCCGCCGCAGCAUGCGCGCCCCGCGGAUGCGGUGGACGAGCUCCCUCCACGCCCGCUUCGUCCACGCCGUCGAGCUUCUCGGCGGCCACGAGCGAGCGACGCCCAAAUCGGUGCUAGAGCUGAUGGACGUCAAGGAUCUGACCCUAGCUCAUGUGAAGAGCCAUCUGCAGAUGUAUAGGACCGUGAAGAGCACUGACAAGCCAGCAGCAGCCUCAGGGCCGAUGGACGGCAGCGGCUCCGGCUCCGGCUCCGGCGACGACGAGCUCCUGGCCGGCGAUGGAAGGCAGGCGACGUCAUCGGGCGCCGAUGCGGACCGGCGGAUGUCGUUCACCGAGCACCGGUCCUCCUCCGAGGGCGCGGCGAGCCAUGCCGGCGGUGGCGGCGACGGCGACUGCUCCUCCUCUGCCGUCAACUCCGACACCAUCAGAGCGCGCAGCAAUUCGCCGAGGCCGUCACCCUCACUCUCCACUCCGACGAGCUCGACGGCGGCCGGCGCGCGGUUGGCGGCAAGGUCGACGGCGGCCGGCGCACGGCGGGCGGCGGGGUCGACGGCGGCCGGCGCACGGCGAGCAGCACAUGGUGGGCGGCGUGCGGCGGGUUGGUGCGCGGUCGGCGCGCGGUUGGCGGCGAGGUUGACGGCGGGCGGCAUCGGGGACGGCGCGCGGUUGGCGGACGGACGGCGGCAGGCGGCGGGCAACAUCGGGGACGGCGCGAGUGGCGCGCGGCCGGUGGGCGGACUGCGGCGGGCGGCGCGCAGCAGGAGGCGGCCGCCCGCACACGGGGACGGCGACGGCAGCAGUUGCGAUUGGGGAGUUUUUUUCUUUUUUUUUUUGUAAUUUCAGAUCUAGAGCUCAAAACCUACCAAACACUUUUCAGCAGGUCUCCAACUCCUACAAGAGCUAGCUCCCACUAGAGUGGGAGUUUAGAGCUGAGAGUUGGAGUUUGGAGCCCUACCAAACGGGGUCUAAAACCAUGAGAUCACUACUACAAAAAAAAAAUUGUAGCCACAAAAAAAUCACUAGUAAUAAUAACAGGGAGCUCCUAUGAUCUAAACCCGCUUCCGAAAAACAAUUGUCAAGGCGGCUGUCAAUUUUCACAUCAAUGUCCGUAAUAUGUAUAGCGAGGUUGCAUUUAUUUGGAAGCAAUUAAUUUAAUUUAUCUCAAAUUUAGACUUUAUUUCCAAAUAAUUUGCUUUUAGGUAUCUAUUCCUACCUAUAUAUGUGUGUGCAAAUAUGCAUGUACUUAAUUACUAAAAAAGUUGAAAGAACACUUGGUACAUAAAAAAGGUUAAUUAGUACUAUGGUGUAUAUUGCUAAUAAACUUCACUCUGCACUAGUAACAAUUUUGCCAAACUUCUGUUCAGAGAUCUAUGGCUUUCAUCGAGCGUGUGCAAUAUGGAUCCUCAACAUUUGGUUACAGUUGAGGACAUGGAGCCUUGUAGAUCAAGCAGCUUGCAAGUAUCCAGCCAUGAACUGAGCAGCCCUAGCCUCGAGUUCACGCUAGGAAGACCGAGCUGGCACAGCAUAGAUCAUGACUAGCUAGCUAGCAAGCUCUUGCUUGCUUGCUUGCUAUAUAUAUGGACCCAUGCAUUGCACAUUCAGAUAUACUGUUUAUGACCAUACUCAGAUCGAUACCUGCGUCGCCGCGAUAUCAGCAAUGCGCGAUGAAACAAGACAUGGAUGAAAAAAAAUUAAUUAGGAGUGGUUUGUUUGUUUUGUCGAAACAACACGAUAGUCCCCUCUUUCACUUUGCUCUCUUUUUUCUUAGUUUUUCAUUACAUUUUUGUAUUUAUUCUCAAUGUGUAAGUGCAGUAGAUUAUAUUCUCAUGCACUACAUGACACUAGGGGUGCUUGAAAGUUGUAAUGCCUCUUUGCAACUUGGUGACCGGUGUAAUGUAUCAUUUGCACAUGAAAAAAAAACAGAGAAAAUAUCUAACCUGACAAUGAUUAUAUUC